CCUACGGGAGGCUUCAGUAGGGAAUCUUUCACAAUGGGCGAAAGCCUGAUGGAGCAACGCCGCGUGCAGGAUGAAGGCCUUCGGGUUGUAAACUGCUUUUAUAAGCGAGAAAUAUGAUGGUAACUUAUGACUAAUGCUCGGCUCACUACGUGCCAGCAGCCGCGGUCAUACGUAGGAUCCGAGCAUUAUCCGGUGGGACUGGGUGUAAAGAGUUGCGUAGGUGGCAUAAUAAGUAGCAAGUGAAAUCUGGUGGCUCAACCAUUCAGCCUGUUAGCGAAACUGUUAAGCUCGAGACCGUUAGAGGUAACUGGAAUUCCUAGUGUAGGAGUGAAAUCCGUAGAUAUUGGAAAGAACACCAAUAGCGAAGGAAGGUUACUGGGACGGUUCUGACACUAAGGCACGAAAGCGUAGGGAGCAAACGGGAUUAGAUACCCCUGUAGUC
rnacentral:rRNA from 1 species